rnacentral:rRNA from 1 species
UACAGAGGUCUCAAGCGUUGUUCGGAUUUACUGGGCGUAAAGCGUGCGUAGGCGGUAAGGUAAGUCAGAUGUGAAAUCCUGGGGCUCAACCCCAGAACUGCAUCCGAUACUGCCUUGCUAGAAGACUGGAGAGGAGUCUGGAAUUCACGGUGUAGCAGUGAAAUGCGUGGAUAUCGUGAGGAACACUAGAGGCGAAAGCGAGACUCUGGACAGUACUUGACGCUGAGGCACGAAGGCUAGGGGAGCGAAC